UUUUUAAUCUUUUUCAGGUCAGGUACCAUAGUAGGAAAAAACUGGCGGAACAACGGCCACGAGUCAGAGGACAAUUUGUUCGGCGGUAUGAUUCCAAAUCUGGAUUUGAUUGUCCAAGCAGCGGCGUAGCAUCUGAAGACAAUUCUUGUGACAGUGUAAGAUAACACAGACAGGGAGUGCAGAUUGCUAACUCGUCUUCCCUUGGUAACAUAUGUGGAUUUGUAUACGUAAGAUAGCACUAGCACAGCAUCUGGUGUAGGGAGGGUACCCUUUGAAAUUUGGGUAGAGGGAGGGAUUUUUAGGGUAGGGACUCUUGAAAAACUCUCAUUACCAUCUUUCCCAGAAACAGAAACUGGACUCUGCAACAUUUACUUCGGACUGUUCUAUGUUAUGUUUGGUGACUUUGAAUCUCUCUGGAGGAUGAUAUGUUUGCAUUGCCUAAUUUCCUUCAAUAAAUAUAAUCUUGGUGGUGUGUUAUCUACUCA